UACGUAGGGGGCAAGCGUUGUCCGGAAUCAUUGGGCGUAAAGCGCGUGUAGGCGGUCCGGUAAGUCGGCUGUGAAAGUCCAGGGCUACAACCCUGGGAUGCCGGUCGGAUACCUGCCGGACUAGGAGUUCGGUAGAUGGCGAGGUGGAAUUCCCGGUGUAGCGGUGAAAUGACGCAGAUAUCGGGAGGAACACCAGUAGCGAAGGCGGCUCGGCUGGGCCAUUCCUGACGCUGAGACGCGAAAGCUAGGGGAGCGAACAGG
rnacentral:rRNA from 1 species